GACAGAGGAGGCGAGCGUUAUCAGGAGUUAUUGGGCGGAAAGGGUACGUAGGCGACUGGUCAAGUCUGGGGUUAAAGACCACAGCUUAACUGUGGGGGGGCCUUGGAAACUGACCGGCUGGAGUGGGGCAGGGGUUGCGGGAAUUCCCGGUGUAGCGGUGAAAUGCGUAAAUAUCGGGAAGAACACCUGAGGCGAAAGCGCGCAACUGGGCUCUAACUGACGCUGAGGUACGAAAGCUAGGGGAGCGAAUGGG
rnacentral:rRNA from 1 species